rnacentral:rRNA from 1 species
AGUGAACGCUGGCGGUAGACCUAACACAUGCAAGUCGAACGGCAGCACAGUAAGAGCUUGCUCUUACGGGUGGUGAGUGGCGGACGGGUGAGGAAUACAUCGGAAUCUACUUUUUCGUGGGGGAUAACGUAGGGAAACUUACGCUAAUACCGCAUACGACCUACGGGUGAAAGCAGGGGAUCUUCGGACCUUGCGCGAUUGAAUGAGCCGAUGUCGGAUUAGCUAGUUGGCGGGGUAAAGGCCCACCAAGGCGACGAUCCGUAGCUGGUCUGAGAGGAUGAUCAGCCACACUGGAACUGAGACACGGUCCAGGCUCCUACGGGAGGCAGCAGUGGGGAAUAUUGGACAAAGGGCGCAAGCCUGAUCCAGCCAUACCGCGUGGGUGAAGAAGGCCUUCGGGUUGUAAAGCCCUUUUGUUGGGAAAGAAAAGCAGCAGGUUAAUACCCCGCUGUUCUGACGGUACCCAAAGAAUAAGCACCGGCUAACUUCGUG